UUUCUUUCCGCGAUUCAUUGAACACUUAGAUACUUAGUUCUACUUUUAUGAUUAUAGUAAAAGCAUCCCCUUCGUUGUUUAAUAUAUCUAUACAUAUAUAUAAUAGAGCCAUGCAUGCUCUUUAGUGUUGUGAAGCUGAAAUAGAUAUUUCAGUAUACUUAUGUCAGUAGUCCCCCUCCUCAGAGUAUAGUAUACUUAUGUCAGUAGUCCCCCUCCUCAGAGUAUAGUUUACUUAUGUCAGUAGUCCCCCUCCUCAGAGUUAGUAUACUUAUGUCAGUAGUCCCCUCCUCAGAGUUAGUAUACUUAUGUCAGUAGUCCCCCUC
rnacentral:lncRNA from 1 species